CAAAGGACGUAGAAUUCAUGUUGCGUGGUGAAGUGAUGUCAGCAUAGUGAGAUCAGCAACUAAGCAGGUUCCUUGGAUGCACUUCUUGCCAUUUUAAUGUGCCAUAAUUAUUACCUAGGGUUGCUCCAAGACGGUUCCAUAACGUGUAGUCCUGGUGAGAAAAUGAAUUCUCUACUGUAGGUGUCAAUAGGAGGCAUAACAGCUCAUCUUUGAUUGCAAAGUGGAAAAGAACUCCAAGUCCUGUCUGCAAGUCAGGGUCUAUCACGUCACCAUUCUGGUGAGCAGCCUCCAGAAGUGAUAAACUUGAAAAUAAGCUGCUUGAGUUCAAUCACAGCAGAGAUAUGCUUCUCCAUCCUGUUGCAAGCUCAUUUCUGAAAUACAGAAGUUUACCUGUGUAAUGAAGUCAAAGUGAAGCUAUGAAUCCAAGCAACGGGCUGGACUUCUACACAUUAAGGGCACAGCAUGAAGCAUUGUUUGUAGUGGUCAUUACAUCUCAGCCAGCAGGAUUUAACUGCGUUUACCUUUCAUCUGACGUCUUAGACAUUCUCCUGGCAAUUGUGGGUCGACUUCUGCGUCCAUGAAGAGGCAGGAUAUGGGUCUAACUGUUGAUAGAAGCAUUGAAGGUGGAAUUGCUGACAGCGGAAUACAGCUCCUCUGUUGGUGAGUCCAGCUGAGAUCUGUGCUGUUG